GACGAACGCUGGCGGCGUGCUUAACACAUGCAAGUCGAACGGAAAGGCGAUGCUUUUGUGGGGUGCUCGAGAGGCGAACGGGUGAGUAACACGCGAGUAACAUGCCCUUGUAUUUGGGAUAACAUCAGGGAACUGGGGCUAUUAUCGGAUAGGAGCUCCUGAUCCAUGGUGGGGGUUGGAAAGAUUCGGCGGUGGGGGAUGGACUCGCGGCUUAUCAGCUUGUUGGUGGGGUAGUGGCUGACCAAGGCUUUGACGGGUAGCCGGCCUGAGAGGGUGACCGGCCACAUUGGGACUGAGAUACGGCCCAGACUCCUACGGGAGGCAGCAGUGGAGAAUAUUGCACAAUGGGCGGAAGCCUGAUGCAGCAACGCCGCGUGCGGGAUGACGGCCUUCGGGUUGUAAACCGCUUUCGCCUGUGACGAAGCGUGAGUGACGGUAAUGGGUAAAGAAGCACCGGCUAACUACGUG
rnacentral:rRNA from 1 species